ACAAAAGUUGAUUACGAUAGAGUUGAUCGUGAUCUGUGCCUAGGACAGCCUGGGACAAAAGUUGAUUACGAUAGAGUUGAUCGUGAUCUGUGCCUAGGACAGCCUGGGACAAAAGUUGAUUGCGAUAGAAUUGAUCGCGAUCUGUGCCUGGGACGGCCUGGGACAAAAGUUGAUUGCGAUAGAAUUGAUCGCGAUCUGUGCCUGGGACGGCCUGGGACAAAAAAGUUGAUUGCGAUAAAGUUGAUCGCGACCUGUGCCUGGGACAAAAAAGUUGAUUGCGAUAAAGUUGAUUGCGACCUGUGCCUGGGACGAAAAGUUGAUUGCGAUAAAGUUGAUCGCGACCUGUGCCUGGGACAAAAAGUUGAUUGCGAUAAAGUUGAUCGCGACCUGUGCCUGGGACGAAAAGUUGAUUGCGACAAAGCUGAUCGCGAUCUGAGCCUGGGACGAAGUAUAACUGAAAAGAGAAUAAGAGAUUUCUUCUGUGUGGGAAGAAAAUAAAGACGUUUUCUUUGUGGGAAGACGAAUAUGAGUUAGAAUAAAAGAGAACGUCCAGGGCUCAAAGCGGGGAUCCUUUUAAGUGUUCUCUGUCUGUUUGUCAGCUCCGCCGAGAGCGGAGUGCGUGUGUGUCAGCUGUGGGUGUGAGAGCUGCAGACGUUUUUGCUCUCAUGUGUUCUGGUGCUGGUGAACUGUAAUUUAAACACGGUUAAACACGACAAAACAAACCGUGUUUAAGUUAUCAAGUGUGUGUCGUCCGCCGCCGUGCGGACAGUUAAAGAGGUUUGACUUUGUCUGUGGUGUUGUCUCGUCGCCGUACGAGCAGGUGCCGCCGUGCCCACUAAACAAAACAUAAGGUGAUUUCUGAAUUUGCAAAAUGGAGAGUGACUCCAGGGAUGAGGGUUACGACUCAAAGUGGGGCACAGGCCCUUGGGUGACUCUCGGGGAACAAAUAGACGGACUAAUAACUUAUCUGGCGGAGCAAGAUGAAUUUCAAAAUAAAGGGGAAGAACAAAAAUAAAAACAGAGACCUCCGCCGUGUGUGUGAGUAAUAAAUUAUAAAAAAAAAAAAAAAAAGGCAGGGAGGAGAGAAGAGGUGAUUCUUGCUCCAGGCAUGGCAGACGAGGUCGACAGGAAGAAAUUUGAUUUAAAAGGGGGUAUAGGACCUUUGUUUAUGGUUGGUGAGCAAAUAGAGGGAAUAACUAGCAUAACUAGAAGAAAAUCUACAAUCACUAAAAUUUCAGCAAAAGAUCUAACAAAAUUUAUGCUACUAAAUUUCACCAACUUAAAAUUAUCAGAGUCUAAGCUAAUAAUGAUUUGUAAAACUUUCUCUCCUUUAUUAAAAAAGAAAAGAAGGAAUAUUCCGGUAAUACAUGCUAGUUUGAAAUUAAAUUGAACAGUUUUAAGGGCUGAAAAUAAUUGAGACUGAAGUGUUUAUAUACCAUAAAGUAUUUGUUGCAUUUAAACUGAACAGUUAAUUUAGAAUUUCAUUCUAUAAAUGAAUUUACAUUUUAUUAAAAUGGGUGAAGUGCUCUAGCAGCAGGUAGUUCAGUUACUGCUGGAUUCUAACAUAUGUCUGACAUAGUUUUAAUAACAAUAAAUAAAUACAUGAAUGAAUAAAUAAUAAAUAAAAAUGUGCGCAUUACCUAAAAACAGGAACCUGACAACUAAAAGAUAAUAUUAACAUAUUAAAUAUGUUAACUAAUAUUGGAAAUUUCAUGAAGCUUCAAUAAAAUUGAUAAUUUGAGCAUAGGAAAACAAGAAAAGCAGACUGAAAAUUUGUGACUAACUGAAAAUCAGAUAAAUAUUUAUGUUUCUGUUUGUGCUGCUUUGGUUGAUGAAAAUUAGUGUGAUUAUGAGAACAAACAAACCGUACUCAAGCACUGAGUAACUGAUGAAGUUAUUAAUUAUUUAAUAAAUAAUAAUUAUAAAAAGAUGUCUACUGCUAUAAAAUAAAAGAUUAAAGGAAACUUUGAUUUAAAUAACUGGUUACUUCAAACUGAUGAUUGUGAAUAUAAAUAACAUUUUCUAGACUAAAGUUUAAACUAGGUUUGACUGAUUGAUUGAUGAUUAUUAAAUUCAUAAAGACAUAUUGAAUUAGAGGAUUUUAGAUUUGGUUUAAUUUUAGGACGGUAAUUUUUGUUUAAAAAGUGUAAAAACCCAAGAAAAAAACAAUGUUCUGCAGAGGACUUAACUUUGGGUUGUGUCAUCUGUCAGAAUCAGACAGAAGUGUUCCACCUUGAUGAAUUUGACAACAUCUACAUGUAAGAUUUCUGAUUAAUUGCCUCUUUGUUAACAAGUCUCCUACAAACAAUGUCACUACCAGGUAAAACUAAUAAUUUUUAAGCGUGCCAUGCACACCACAGGACAGGAUGAAGCUCUAUAAGGGACAUAGGUCAGCUGAUCAAAUGUUAAAAUAACAAAAGCAGCAACAGGAUAACAUAGAACUGGAAUCCUCUUAAAUUAAGAUAAAAAAGAGCAAACAAUAGAUAAAAUUGUUCUAGCUGACAUGCAGGCAAAUGCUCCAAUAGCAAGAUCACAAAUGAGAAUAAUUAAAAGAGGCAACACUGAAUGAUAAUAAAAUUUUUCAAUUAAAAACAAAAACAGAAAGAGGCAGGAGUUUUCACUAAAAGAGGCUGAAGACAAAACAGGCAGACUGCAGAGACAGAACUCAGGCAAAAUGAAAACUAUUGGGUUCCUGACAGGGACAAUAACAUAAAAUAAUUUUUUUUAAAAAAAGGGUCAUUGCCACCAGCUCUGAACACACUAGCAUAAAAAUACACACUUGACUAUUUUCGUUUUGGGCAAAAUCAAGAACAUGAAUGCUCUUAAAGGGCCAGUUGUACCAGAAUGUAUUGAUAAAAGCCAUUCACAAACUGUUAAAAUAUCACGCAUUUCUUAAAUAUCAUUGAAUUUUUGUGAUUUUUUGCAAUAAAAAGUGUUUGUGGUAGCAAUUUGGAAAUAUUUGCACUUAUUUAUGACGGUAAAUUUGACUUUUUAUUACUCGCUGUACAGGUCAUAUAAUGGGAAAUCAAUUAGGUUUGAGGCAGCUGUUUAGUUCAAGUAAGGAAGUUUCACAUUUUUUAUUAAAACUGCAAAAACUCCCAAUUAUUUGCUCAGAAAAGUGCAGGGAUUUGUUGAUUUUGGUGAAUUUCCCUGAUAAUUCUAAAAGAAACUGGAGCGACUGAUUGAUAUAAUUUGGCAGUAAACGGAUAGAACUGCAUUAAUUUGAUUGAUGACAUAAUAUUUAAGCACACUUAGUGUUUAGUUUAGAAUCUGGAGGGCCGCACAAACCCACAGCGGGCUGGAUUUGGCCCACAGGCCUUCAGUUUGACACGUGUUCUAAGCGGAUAUAUCCCCUAAUUAAUAUCACAGAAGGUACUUUGACAGUCAAGGGGGAACUGCUACCCCACAAAACUUCAGGAGUCCACACUGGGAAUAGAACCCCGACUUGGACUGUAUUAGAUCAAACCCCAUCAUCACCAAAUCCCAUGUUUGGUCCCAACUAAAUGACAUUAUAUCUAGAAACCUGGCUCAGAAAAUCUACAGUUAAUCUUAAAGGUCCAUGCACAAACUUAAUUGAAAUGUUUAAAGAAGCAGUUUUAAAAGGCCCCUGAAUAUGUUAUGCAGUCUAUAAAACACAAUCAAUGAUCUUGCAGGGUGUGAACAUGUGAGAUGGAAAAGACACCUGCUUCAUCACCUCUUAAAGGCGCAGGACGAAUAAAAAUAAAAAACAGUCUUGAGGGCUUAGGCACUCAGACGCUGAAACUCCAAUUGCAGGAAGCAAAACAAAAUUACAUUACUUAAAUAAUAAUAAUAAAAAAAAAAAAAAAAAAACAAGAACAUGUGAUGGUUGCAGCAGCAUCUUCUCAAAAUAAAUCUACACAGGGUAAAAUUCCAAAUUACUGGCAAAACUCUAAUCAUACUGGGGGGGGGAACUGGUUCCUCCUCCUGCUUUUUCUUUUUUAUAUCCUCAAACAGAUACAGAGCGUUUCCUCGUGGACGGGGAUGGCGUUUGGCUGGAUGUGGAUGGGGGCCAUGGGGCAAGGUCACGGAGCACGAGGCCAAGGGCCAAAGGAACUUGACGUGCUACCAGUGCAGACAUUUUGGACACUGGGCCAAACACUGUGUGAACAUACCAAAGACUGCCAGGUUUGAUCCCCAACAAUCCUUAUGUGAUUCCUGGACAUUGCUUUCAGGGGAAUACUGAGGCCACACAGAACAUCUACUGAAACACUGCUGAGGACCCCGGAGACAAUGGUUCUCAUGGACUGAACAGAGUCUGCUAUUCACGAUGCCUCUGACCUUCACCUUGGGUAAUCAGAAUAUGAAACAUUCUUUUGUAAGUUUUCCUACGACUCCCAUGAAUUUACUUGAGCGAGCUUUGCUGAUAAAGAUGGCAGCAACAAUCAUGUGCUCGGCUGAUGGAAUAAUUGUUGCUUUUCCUGAUGGCACCUCCCUUCUUUGUGGAAAUUUCCAAACAGAAGGACAGUAUCUGAUCCAGCCAGUGGUGUCUGAGUUUGCUGACAUCUAUUGGGGACUUUUAACAAAUUUACCCUACAGCAGCCUAAUGUCAACGUUCUUGGCCUGGAAGCCCUGGCUCCUGUGUCUGCGCUUCUGUGUUCCUCCUCCGGGUCCACCACACGUGACCCUGUUCUGCGACAGAGACGCCUCUGAAUGGUACCAGGAACCUUUCCUUUCCACUUUGAAGGAAACAACCUGGCAGGUAAAAGUCUCGGACAUUUAUGUAGCUCCUGUUGGUGUAGCUGCUGCUGUCUCUUUCGCAAAAAAAAAACAAUCAGAAUGGUAUUAAAUGUCUCACAUUUCUCUCUGUUUGCACCCUGAGCACCAAGUGAAAAAUUGGGCGUGAUGAUGAAACGUUCCCUGGCAGCCACAGAUUCGAUUGCCACAGCAGCACUAGGUUUGUUUUCCUCCCAUACUCUUUACACAUGUAAUAUCUGUCAUUCAGGGUCUGAUCACAUAAUAAGUCUUAAAGGAAAAUGUACUGCAAUUUUCCAUAAAUCAGUGACCUUAGACAUUCUGAUGAGGCUCCUUGGUUUGUAAAAGUAACAAUCUUCAAACAUAUUUGUCAGCAUAUCUACAUUUCUUAAUUAAAUGGUUUUCUUUAUAUUGUUUGGUAAGAUAUUCCGAUUUAAUCUGUCAUAUUUCCAUUAACUGUAAGCAUAAAAUUAUUGUCAUUACUAGACUUAAAGACUUUAGUUAUGUGUUUCACUUUUUGAACUGAUUUACUAAAAUAAAUUAACAUUUAAUAUGCAAUGCAUAAAAAUAUUUUUAACGUUGAAUGUUCCCUCAUAAUGGAAUCGAUUUUAGUUUAACCAGGUUUUGCAAGAUAUUUUGCAGGACUGCCCACUAGACCUUUUGCUUGCUGCACCAGUAACAGAGACCUGCGUUAAAGCCACCUCUCUGGUUUUGCAGUGCCUGCGUCAAACAGAUUUUAAGGUCAGUAAAAGCAGAUUGCUCGAAAACAGGCUAAGUUUCUGGGUAGAAUAAUUUCAGCAGGAACGACUGGCAUGUCCCCAUGGAACAAGCUUUUGUCUCUCUCCAACAACACAUGGCUUCGGCUGCAGAGCUCUCCAUCCCUGAAUACAUUUUACAGUUCUUUGAGGAUAUUUCUGGAACAAAACUGACUGUUUUGUUUCAGAAAAAGGGGGAGGAAAAGGGCAUCACCCUUGUACACAACAGGCAGCUGGGAUACCUGCUGCCUGAUACAAAAACUGAACACAUAGUCAUGGGACAUUCACUGAGUUUCACCAUGACAGCGUUGAGGCAACAAACACUUUCCAAAGUCCUGAAAGCUCCAAACAUUUCAUUCACACACCAAGACAUAAAUAUGGCAGACUGUUUUUCAGAAGGAGAACCACACGUGUGCAGACCUGGUGGCAAAGACAGACAAGGUAACACCAGGACUUCAGCAGCUCCUCUGCUGGGACCAGAGGUGAGACAGUUCUUUACAGAUGGUUGUUGUUUCAGAAACAACACACAAGGGUUAAGAGCCUGGAAGAGGUGGUAAGAUGCCAAAAGGGGGCGCCACCUGAAGAGAAAAACGUGAAACAAAUGGGUGCUGGAGGGGCCCAGAUGGCAGGUUAAUUCUGCCUCCUGGGAAAAUACAAGAGCUGCUCCAAGAAGCUCACAGGGUUGGAUAUGUUGGGACGAAGCAGAUGAUGCACAAUCUUAAAGAGUGGUGGCACCUCAAAUGAUCCACAUGGUGAAACAUUUUGUUAAGAAUUGUUCGGUGUGCGGACAGUUCAACCCUAAGAAAACUUUGAACCCACAUCAGGGACAGUUUCCUCCAGUCACAUGUCCAGGGAAAGAAAUUGUGUUGGAUUUUACUGACAUGAUAAACCCGGUGCAAGACAAAAAUAUUUGCUGAUUUGUGUUGAUGCUUUCACAGGAUGGCCUGAAGCCUGGCCAGCAACAGCAGAAGAUAGUAAAAUCAUCAUAAAAUGUCUAAUCAAUCAUUACCUCCCAAGGCAAAGCAGAAUGAAUGAAUCAAAAUUUAAAACAAAAUUGGCUAAGGUUUGUGCACAAACAAAAUUAAAUUGGGUCGAUACAUUACACAGAAACCAACUUGUGGUUAGACUGAUUAACUGCAACAGCACGAUAAUAUCAAAUGUCUAACUGUGUGGCCUGCACAGCUGGACGACCCAGAAUCUAUACUGAACCUGCUUCUUUGAUUCCAUCUGACAUUUGGGGUUUUAACUGCAUGUUUAAUAUGACUAAGUUUCAACAGCCCUCUAGAUGUGACACUUUAACAGCUUUAUUUCCAGUAAUCAACAGCGGAGCCCGGAUGGUGCCGCUAUUCCAGUUAAAGAUAACUAUGUCUAUUUCAAUUUUACAACAGGUAACCGCAGUGUGGGCCGGAUCCCUGAAAGUUGGUGUAACAUCACAUUCCCACAGCACUUAAUAGGCUAGAGAUGGGAUAUUUUAUCUAUGCAGGGGUAAUAAACUAAUUGAGAGAACAUAGACUGGUGUGACAGGUGUCUGUGCUAUGGUGAGACUUAGAGCCUGUGUCAUCAUGGUAGGUGAACAACAACCUCUGAAUCACAGCAUCUUUUCACAGGUCAAGUGCAGCGCAACUGUGGAGCUGCAACUUUCCAGAUUUUAAAUGUAAAAAGUCCAAUCCUUUCUCGGUGUGCCUGGAUGAAAAUGAGGCAUCUGGACACACGUAGAAACUGGUUGACAUCAACAGAUACUAGA